GAUGAACGCUGGCGGCGUGCCUAAUACAUGCAAGUCGAGCGAACAGACGAGGAGCUUGCUCCUCUGACGUUAGCGGCGGACGGGUGAGUAACACGUGGAUAACCUACCUAUAAGACUGGGAUAACUUCGGGAAACCGGAGCUAAUACCGGAUAAUAUAUUGAACCGCAUGGUUCAAUAGUGAAAGACGGUUUUGCUGUCACUUAUAGAUGGAUCCGCGCCGCAUUAGCUAGUUGGUAAGGUAACGGCUUACCAAGGCAACGAUGCGUAGCCGGCCUGAGAGGGUGACCGGCCACAUGGGGACUGAGAUACGGCCCAGACGCCGACGGGAGGCAGCAGUGGGGAAUAGUGCACAAUGGGCGGAAGCCUGAUGCAGCAACGCCGCGUGCGGGAUGACGGCCUUCGGGGUGUAAACCGCUUUCGCCGGGGACGAAGCGUGAGUGACGGGAAGGGGUAAAGAAGCACGGGCGAACUACGUG
rnacentral:rRNA from 1 species